AUUGAACGCUGGCGGCAGGCCUAACACAUGCAAGUCGAGCGGAGCGGCGGACGGGUGAGUAAUGCCUAGGAAUCUGCCUGGUAGUGGGGGAUAACGUCCGGAAACGGGCGCUAAUACCGCAUACUAUCAGAUGAGCCUAGGCCGGAUUAGCUAGUGGGUGGGGUAAAGGCUUACCAAGGCGACGAUCCGUAACCGGUCUGAGAGGAUGAUCAGUCACGCUGGAACUGAGACACCGUCCAGACUCCUACGGUAGGCCGCCAUGGGGAAUAUUGGACAAUGGGCGAAAGCCUGCUCCAGCCGUGCCGCGUGUGUAAAGAAGGUCUUCGGAUUGUCAAGUACUUUAGGUUGGGAGGCGUUACCAACAGAAUAAGCACCGGCUAACUUCGUGCCAGCAGCCGCGGUAAUUC
rnacentral:rRNA from 1 species